AUUUGUAGCACAAAGCGCCUUCACUUUGCUAGGAGUGUUUCCGCAUCAUAGGUUAUGCACACGGAAUCCACGAGGGGGCGAUACAGCCUCGCUUUUAAGCCUUGCACCAUCAGCGCAAGCGCGGCAAGAGUGCUCGGGUGCUCCGGGAAAUCAUUACCGACUUCCUUCCAACAAUGAAGUCAGUGACCCUUCUGUCACUUGGCAAAGCUGGCCAGGCAGUAAGCCUCGAAAGUCUGUCCUUUAAGUUAAUGAUUUAUUGGUUUUGGUGCCUGGUCUUGCUUUCACUGAGCGGGAAACGUUUUUUAAACAUCUGCUGCUAGUUGCUAGAAUUCUGAACAGAAAGCGGAGCCUUCCUUGUUUAUUGGAAUCUUCCGUGGAUGCAGUGGCUUUGUGGAUGCUGCCCCCUGGCUGUUUAGUCCAAUGAGAAGAAAGCAGGCCAUUGGGCUCCACUGGUCCCAGCCCGUGACCCUCAGGCUGGCCCCACCUUCCCAGCAUGGGCCGCUCAGAGAACCUGCAGACUCAUCCUGGCUCCUCAGCCUACCCUGACACCAGAACUUCCUGGAUGAGGCUCAACCUGACCCUUCAGCUCCAGAUCUAAAGCGAGAUGACACAAACAUUUCCUUGUCCAGAGGAGGGAAGCAGGUGAGGAGGGGGGAGGAACCGGGAGAGCAGGGCUUGGACUCCUAUGUGGGCCCUGGCCCACCACUGUGAGUGGCUGCCACCUUGCUUGCAAUAUUUCCAUGUGUCUAUUGAUAUAUAUUCUUCUCUAAUUUUUGCUUCUGCCCAUUCAGGGAAAAAGGUUAAGGAUGUAAAGAAUCAUUGUCUUCAUGCUUUUGCUUACAUGGGAGUACCAAAAUGCAUAAAGACUGAUAAUGGUCCCGCCUAUAGCAGUACGGGAUUUUCAAAAUUCUGCCAAGACUUUUCUAUUGUUAAUAAGACUGGUAUUCCUUAUAAUCCUCAAGGACAGGCUAUAGUAGAACGCUGCCAUCGUACCUUAAAAACAUAUAUUUCUAAAGUAAAAAGGGGGAGAUAGGGGCUCAUCUCUCUUCUCCACAUUCUAUUCUUUCCCUUGUUUUAUAUAUUUUAAAUUUUUUAUCGGUGGAUUCUGCUGGAGUAUCCACUGCAGAUAAGCACUGGAGGGCUCCUGUUGCAAAUCAUCCUCUGGUGCGAUGGAAGGAUCUUUCUACUGGCACUUGGAGGGGACCCGAUCUGGUGUUGGUGUGGGCCCGGGGAUCUGUUUGUGUCUUUCCGCAGGACAAUGAGGUUCCUCUUUGGGUUCCUGAGCGCUGCGUGCACCCUGUGGCUGCUGCUGAAUUCCAACAUGGCAGAGACCUAUUGGGCCUUCAUAAAAAACUCUCCCCUUCUGAUGCCAAUGGGGAUUGAGAGCUCAAUACGGCCAGCCUUGGCAAACAUUAUUGUAAGCCUAGGAACUGUAGCCAUGUGGUUGGAUUCUUCAGAAGGUAAUGUAUGGUAACCUUUUUCAAAAAUGUUGAGAAUGUGUCACACUUUGGAGAUUAAGGAUAACUCUGAAGGUCAAUGACCUUCAUUUGUUAACAGUAGCAUGCCAGCUAAGCCUUUUCACAUUUUGCAACCCUCUUCAAGCAGGUGUAGUACCUACUUUUCAGGAAUGGCUCUGUGCAACAUUUAUUGGCCUCCUGAAAUUCAUCUAGCCUUUUUGAAGAUACCUUAAAAUUUGUGAGCCUGAAUGUAGGUAGCCAUUAAUGAGACCAUUAGUUCUGCUCCUUGUUUGCUGUUUUUGUUUUUUAUUUUCUUUAUGGUUCUUAGUUGUUCUUUUGCAGACCUGCCAGCCUAAGUAGUGCUGGGAUCAAGAAAAAUGGGCCUUGGUGGUUCGUGUUCCUGGAGCUGCAUCCAUGCCAGUGGACUGUGGCAGUUAGACACAGAUGAUGCUCACACGCUCCAGAAGAGAAUCUGACAUCGCUGUUGCCGUUGUUGCUGUUAUAGCAGUGGUGGCCACUGCUGCUAUUGCUUCUGGGAUGGCUAUUUCAUAAUUGGGUUCUACAGCUAGCACAAUGGAGACCCUGGCAGCAAAAGUAGCUACCACAGUUAGUUAAUCUUUUAUUUUAUUGGGCAUGAUAAAUUUAAUUCUGCAUUUAUACAUUUAAAUUGGCUUUGAAAGUUGUAAAAAUUAUUAAAACUCAAGUUCCAUUUGCUUAUGGGAUACCACCUUACAAAGACUCCAAUUUACAGUAAGGCUCAUUUAAGAAGGGAAUGGCUCAAUCGCCUUUAGCCUCCUGGCUAUGGGUGGGUAAGGACUUUUGUUGGUCUUUUCUGUAUCUCACAGAUUGCAAGCCCAGCGCCACUUUGAGAUCUUUGGCAGCAGUCACUCUACAGCUCACGUGGUUGAGUCUGUAUGAUAAUGAGUAUUCAGAGACGGGUAAUGCUUGGGGGGCGGUCACCAACCUAAGACAGAGCACUUGUGUGGCCUGGGCAGGUGUCUCUAUGAUGGGUAAGGUGACCUGCUGACGUCCCACACAACCUAAGUCAGAAGCUCAUUUUUUAGUAAAAAGGGGGGACCUGUGGGCCCUGGCCCCCCACUGUGAGUGGCUGCCGCCUUGCUUGCCGACUUUGACCAGAUGUCCUCCCUAUUCAGAUUCCCUGCCGGUUUCCUUCUCACCUAACGUUCUACCGGAGGUUCUUUGUUCCUGUAUCCUGCAUUUGGUGUAAACAGCUUAGAUGCAAAAAUGUAGCGAACUUCUGCCCUCCGGGGAUCCGCCAUUGUGCUGUAAGCCUGUAUUUAAGGUUUCCUCCCUCUUUCAAUAAAUGGCAUUCGGCAUUCGGCAUUCAGCCGUGGCGAACGA